rnacentral:rRNA from 1 species
UAUUAUGGCUGUCGUCAGCUCGUGUUGUGAAAUGUUCUGUUAAGUCCCGUAACGAGCGCAACCUUGUCCUUAGUUACCAUCAUUAAGUUGGGGACUCUAAGGAGACUGCCGGUGACAAACCGGAGGAAGGCGGGGACGACGUCAAGUCAUCAUGGCCCUUACGAGUAGGGCUACACACGUGCUACAAUGGCCAGUACAGAGGGUUGCAAUACCGCGAGGUGGAGCUAAUCCCACAAAGCUGGUCGUAGUCCGGAUUGGAGUCUGCAAUCGACUCCAUGAAGUCGGAAUCGCUGAAUCGUGAAUUCAGAAUGCCACGGGAAUCCU